CAGCACGGACUUCGGUCUGGUGGCGAGUGGCGAACGGGUGAGUAAUGUAUCGGAACGUGCCUAGUAAGGGGGAUAACUACGCGAAAGCGUGUUAAUAUCAAACAAGCUACGUCUCUUCGGGGAAAGUGAAUCUUUCGGGCCGCAUUCAGAGCGCCGAUAUCGGAUUAGCUAGUUGGUGGGGUAACGACUCACCAAGACGAUCCGCAGCUGGUCGAGACGACCAGCCACCGGGGACCGAGACAUACGCCCAGACUCCUACGGGAGGCAGCAGUGGGAAUUUUUUGACAAUGGGGGAAAACCCUGAUCCAGCCAUCCCGUGUGCGAUGAAGGCCUCGGGUUGUAAAGCACUUUUGCGCAGGAAAGAAACGGCAUCGGGAUAAUACCCUGUGCAACUGACGGUACCUGCAAGAAUAAAUCACGAACGCACAGCAGCCGCGGUAAUAGCCGCAGGUGCAAGGCAUCGGAAUUACUGGGCGUAAAGUGUGCGCAGGCGGUUCGGAAAGAAAGAUGUGAAAUCCCAGAGCUUAACUUUGAACUGCAUUUCGCACUACCGAGCUAGAUGUCGAGGAAAGUGAACCACGUGUAGGAAUGCGUAGAUAUGCGGAGGAACACCGAUGGCGAGGCACUCUGGGAUAAUGACGAUACCACUGAAACAAGAAGCAAAUGAUGACGAGAUACCCUGGCGGUCCACGCCCCAAACGAUGUCAACUAGCUGUUGGGUCCUUCCAGCCUUCAGAAGCGCAUGAACGCGAGAAGUUGGACCGUUUGUGGAGUGGCCGCAAGAUUAAAACUCAAAGGAAUGACGGGGACCCGCACAAGCGGUGAUGAUGUGAUUAAUUCUUUGAUGCAACGCGAAAAACCUUACCUACCCUUGACAUGUCUGGAAUCCCGAAGAGAUUUGGGGCGUUCGCAAGAGAACCGGAAACACAGGGUGCUGCAUGGCUGUCGCUGUGUCGUGAGAUGUUGGGUUAAUCCCGCAACGAGCGCAACUCCUUUGUCAUUAGUUGCCACGAAAGGGCACUCUAAUGAGACUGCCGGUGACAAACCGGAGGAAGGUGGGGAUGACGUCAAGUCCUCAUGGCCUCUAUGGGCAGGGUCGCUUAAUGUCAUACAAUGGUCGGGACAGAGGGUCGCCAACCCGCGAGGGGGGAGCCAAUCCCAGAACCGAUCGUAGGUCCGGAUCGCAGUCUGCACCGACUGGUAAAAGUCGGAAUCGCUAGUAAUCGCGGAUCAGCAUGUCGCGGUGAAUACGUUCCGGGUCUUGUACACACCGCCCGUCACACCAUGUGGAGUGGGUUUUACCAGAGUGCAGUUAGCUCAACCGUAAGGAGGGCGAUUACCACGGUAGGAUUCAUGACUGGGGUGAAGUCGUAACAAGGUAG
rnacentral:rRNA from 1 species